rnacentral:rRNA from 1 species
AGAUUGAACGCUGGCGGCAUGCUUUACACAUGCAAGUCGAACGGUAACAGGCCGCAAGGUGCUGACGAGUGGCGAACGGGUGAGUAAUGCAUCGGAACGUGCCCAGUCGUGGGGGAUAACGCAGCGAAAGCUGUGCUAAUACCGCAUACGAUCUAUGGAUGAAAGCGGGGGACCGAAGGCCUCGCGCGAUUGGAGCGGCCGAUGUCAGAUUAGCUAGGUUGGUGGGGUAAAGGCCCACCAAGGCGACGAUCUGUAGCUGGUACUGAGAGGACGACCAGCCACACUGGAACUGAGACACGGUCCAGACUCCGUA